AUCCCAUGAUGAGGAUAGGCGGCCACGUACUCUUGCAGUCGUUCCCACACUUCCGGUAUGGACUCGUCCAUUGUCUGCUGGAAACUGGAAAUUCAUCCUCGAAGGGC
rfam:Oryza sativa (indica cultivar-group) chromosome 2, whole genome shotgun sequence.